CCCAACCUUGGUCAUACUGGUUUGUAAAUGUACUGAGGGGCAAAUUCUUUGAGAACAAAGACACAUGGAGGCUUUUCGCCCCCAUAUUUUGCUUUUACUUAAAAUCCAUUAAAUCCAAAAGCUUCACAAGAGCUUGAGCAACCAAACCAGGUGCUGACUCUUGUCAGAGCAGCAACCAGGCAGGACAGUGCUUAGACAGCAUUUUCCCAAAAUUAGUUAUAAUUAAUAAUUUGCUUUUCUCCCCCCAAGGUCCUUUCAGAAACUCUCACAAGGCAGUCAGAGAAAAAGCACACCUGAAAUGAUCUCUAAGGCACCAAAUCUUGCAAAUAUGGAUAAACCACUUUGGCUUAGAGAUAUGUAUCUGCCACUGGAUGCUGUACAUAAAAAAUCCAUGGCAAGGAAAUUAUAUGAUGAAGGUUCCUCAGGUGAAGAAGAAAUUUUCAACAAGGCUUAUUUAAGGAAAGAAACUGAGCCGUCAUCUGACAACGAAAGCUACUAAUUGUAUUUCUGUGACUAUACCAUAUAUCAAGAAUACUGUGUUAUAAAGUUGCUUUUUAUUAACCAGAUAAAAACAAAAUAUUAUCUUCAGAAUAUACUACUAAA